rnacentral:rRNA from 1 species
AUUGAACGCUGGCGGCAUGCUUUACACAUGCAAGUCGAACGGUAACAGGCCGCAAGGUGCUGACGAGUGGCGAACGGGUGAGUAAUGCAUCGGAACGUGCCCAGUCGUUGGGGAUAACUACUCGAAAGAGUAGCUAAUACCGCAUACGAUCUAUGGAUGAAAGCGGGGGACCGUAAGGCCUCGCGCGAUUGGAGCGGCCGAUGUCAGAUUAGGUAGUUGGUGGGGUAAAGGCUCACCAAGCCAACGAUCUGUAGCUGGUCUGAGAGGACAACCAGCCACACUGGGACUGAGACACGGCCCAGACUCCUACGGGAGGCAGCAGUGGGGAAUUUUGGACAAUGGGCGCAAGCCUGAUCCAGCAAUGCCGCGUGCAGGAAGAAGGCCUUCGGGUUGUAAACUGCUUUUGUACGGAACGAAACGGCUCUGGUUAAUACCCGGGGCUAAUGACGGUACCGUAAGAAUAAGCACCGGCUAACUACGUG